rnacentral:rRNA from 1 species
UACGGAAGGUCCGGGUGUUAUCCGGAUUUAUUGGGUUUAAAGGGAGCGUAGGCCGGAGAUUAAGCGUGUUGUGAAAUGUAGAUGCUCAACAUCUGAACUGCAGCGCGAACUGGUUUCCUUGAGUACGCAUAAAGUGGGCGGAAUUCGUGGUGUAGCGGUGAAAUGCUUAGAUAUCACGAAGAACUCCGAUUGCGAAGGCAGCUCACUGGGGCGCAACUGACGCUGAAGCUCGAAAGCGCGGGUAUCGAACAGG